AAUGAAGUGCCUGAAUUAAAAGGAUUAUCUUGAUAGGGUAAAUAAUGUAGAAUCUACCUUCAUUA
rnacentral:tRNA from 1 species